rnacentral:rRNA from 1 species
AUGGGCGAGGCCGUGAGGGGCUCCGGCGAGGAGUGCAACUGGUCCGUGGGUCGGUGGGUGUACGACAACGCCUCCCAGCCGCUCUACUCUGGGCUCAACUGCUCCUUCAUCUUCAACGAGGUCGCCUGCGAGAAGUAUGGCCGGAAUGACACCAGGUACCAGUAUUGGAGAUGGCAGCCCGAUGGAUGUGAUCUUCCGAGGCAAUUUCCUGAGUUAACUAUGGCUGGAUUCGCUGAUGCACUAAGGUCGGAUAAGUUUACCGGUGUGCACUUUAAGAGGUGGCAGGUGAAGACCACGCUCUGGCUUACUGCUCUGAAAGUUUUCCACGUUAGUGUUGGUGCUCCAGAGGGAAUGACUGUCGAAGAUCAGAGAAAAUUCCAGGAAGCCAAUACUAUGUUUGUGGGAUGCAUUCUGAGUGUUCUUGCUGACCGUCUGUGUGAUGUGUACAUGCACAUAGAUGACUGA